rnacentral:rRNA from 1 species
GAUGAACGCUGGCGGCGUGCCUAAUACAUGCAAGUCGAGCGAACGGACGAGAAGCUUGCUUCUCUGAUGUUAGCGGCGGACGGGUGAGUAACACGUGGAUAACCUACCUAUAAGACUGGGAUAACUUCGGGAAACCGGAGCUAAUACCGGAUAAUAUUUUGAACCGCAUGGUUCAAAAGUGAAAGACGGUCUUGCUGUCACUUAUAGAUGGAUCUGCGCUGCAUUAGCUAGUUGGUAAGGUAACGGCUUACCAAGGCAACGAUGCAUAGCCGACCUGAGAGGGUGAUCGGCCACACUGGAACUGAGACACGGUCCAGACUCCUACGGGAGGCAGCAGUAGGGAAUCUUCCGCAAUGGGCGAAAGACUGACGGAGCAACGCCGCGUGAGUGAUGAAGGUCUUCGGAUCGUAAAACUCUGUUAUUAGGGAAGAACAUAUGUGUAAGUAACUGUGCACAUCUUGACGGUACCUAAUCAGAAGGCCACGGCUAACUACGUG